UGAGUUUGAUCCUGGCUCAGAACGAACGCUGGCGGCAGGCUUAACACAUGCAAGUCGAGCGCCCCGCAAGGGGAGCGGCAGACGGGUGAGUAACGCGUGGGAAUCUACCCAUCUCUACGGAAUAACGCAUGGAAACGUGUGCUAAUACCGUAUACGUCCUUCGGGAGAAAGAUUUAUCGGGGAUGGAUGAGCCCGCGUUGGAUUAGCUAGUUGGUGGGGUAAAGGCCUACCAAGGCGACGAUCCAUAGCUGGUCUGAGAGGAUGAUCAGCCACACUGGGACUGAGACACGGCCCAGACUCCUACGGGAGGCAGCAGUGGGGAAUAUUGGACAAUGGGCGCAAGCCUGAUCCAGCCAUGCCGCGUGAGUGAUGAAGGCCCUAGGGUUGUAAAGCUCUUUCACCGGUGAAGAUAAUGACGGUAACCGGAGAAGAAGCCCCGGCUAACUUCGUGCCAGCAGCCGCGGUAAUACGAAGGGGGCUAGCGUUGUUCGGAUUUACUGGGCGUAAAGCGCACGUAGGCGGACUAUUAAGUCAGGGGUGAAAUCCCGGGGCUCAACCCCGGAACUGCCUUUGAUACUGGUAGUCUUGAGUUCGAGAGAGGUGAGUGGAAUUCCGAGUGUAGAGGUGAAAUUCGUAGAUAUUCGGAGGAACACCAGUGGCGAAGGCGGCUCACUGGCUCGAUACUGACGCUGGGGUGCGAAAGCGUGGGGAGCAAACAGGAUUAGAUACCCUGAUAGUCCACGCCGUAAACUAUGAGAGCUAGCCGUCGGGCAGUAUACUGUUCGGUGGCGCAGCAAACGCAUUAAGCUCUCCGCCUGGGGAGUACGGUCGCAAGAUUAAAGCUCAAAGGAAUUGACGGGGGCCCGCACAAGCGGUGGAGCAUGUGGUUUAAUUCGAAGCAACGCGCAGAACCUUACCAGCCCUUGACAUCCCGAUCGCGGUUACCAGAGAUGGUUUCCUUCAGUUAGGCUGGAUCGGUGACAGGUGCUGCAUGGCUGUCGUCAGCUCGUGUCGUGAGAUGUUGGGUUAAGUCCCGCAACGAGCGCAACCCUCGCCCUUAGUUGCCAUCAUUCAGUUGGGCACUCUAAGGGGACUGCCGGUGAUAAGCCGAGAGGAAGGUGGGGAUGACGUCAAGUCCUCAUGGCCCUUACGGCUGGGCUACACACGUGCUACAAUGGUGGUGACAGUGGGCAGCGAGACCGCGAGGUCGAGCUAAUCUCCAAAAGCCAUCUCAGUUCGGAUUGCACUCUGCAACUCGAGUGCAUGAAGUUGGAAUCGCUAGUAAUCGUGGAUCAGAAUGCCACGGUGAAUACGUUCCCGGGCCUUGUACACACCGCCCGUCACACCAUGGGAGUUGGUUUUACCCGAAGGUGCUGUGCUAACCGCAAGGAGGCAGGCAACCACGGUAGGGUCAGCGACUGGGGUGAAGUCGUAACAAGGUAGCCGUAGGGGAACGUGCGGCUGGAUCACCUCCUUUCU
rnacentral:rRNA from 1 species